CAGCCGCCGCGGUAAUACGUAGGUGGCAAGCGUUGUCCGGAAUUAUUGGGCGUAAAGCGCGCGCAGGUGGUUUAAUAAGUCUGAUGUGAAAGCCCACGGCUCAACCGUGGAGGGUCAUUGGAAACUGUUAAACUUGAGUGCAGGAGAGAAAAGUGGAAUUCCUAGUGUAGCGGUGAAAUGCGCAGAGAUUAGGAGGAACACCAGUGGCGAAGGCGGCUUUUUGGCCUGUAACUGACACUGAGGCGCGAAAGCGUGGGGAGCAAACAGGAUUAGAUACCCCGGUAGUCCCUGUCUCUUAUAC
rnacentral:rRNA from 1 species